rnacentral:lncRNA from 1 species
UUACUAAAUCAAAAAAAAAAAUUACAAAGACUUACGAUAUACAAUGUCUCAUCGUUGUCGUGUCCCGCACGAUGGCUAGUCUGUCAUCCACAGUCAAGCUCGCAUGUCUAGCCAUCAUAGGAACGAUCACAGUUAUCGACUCUACGAUCUGCUCAAGCUGUCCCUUUGUCAGACAUGAAUGAUCGGGAUCGUACACAUAUCGUCAAAUCAGGGAACACGAUCUCCAGUUCAAUGCAGUGCUGAUUCGCGAUAAUUGGAAUGUACAAAUGCGUACAACCUUCCCAUGGCUUUCCCCCAACACUCGGUGACAGCUCGAUGACCCACUCGAACAUAUAGGCGGGAAGCACGUAUUCGUUACCUAGAAGUUGGAGGGACUGAUACUCAAUGGUAACGGCACGGAAGAACUCGGUGUUCAGUAUAAUGCGACCAAGCUUGUAGAAUGAUUGUGGAUAUCUCUCAACUCGCAAUCGCGCAACAAGUCCAUGACCAUGUCGAUGUGCUACAUCAAGGAAAAC